rnacentral:ncRNA from 2 species
CUCAUCGAACACCACAAAAGGUGUUGGUACAUCUUGACAGCAGGGCGAUAGCCAAGGAAGUCGGAAACCGCUAAGGAUUACGUAACAAGUCACUUGCCGAAUGUACUAGCCCCGAACUAGAG